rnacentral:rRNA from 1 species
GACGAACGCUGGCGGCGCGCUUAACACAUGCAAGUCGAGCGAGAACCAGUCCUUCGGGACUGGGGAAAGCGGCGAACGGGUGAGUAACACGUGGGUAAUCUGCCCUCGGCACUGGGAUAGCCCGGGGAAACCCGGAUUAAUACCGGAUAGCCUUUCGAGCCUUCGGGCUCGUCAGAAAAGGUGGCUUCGGCUUCCGGCUGAGGAUGAGCCCGCGGCGGAUUAGCUUGUUGGUGGGGUAAUGGCCUACCAAGGCGACGAUCCGUAGCUGGUCUGAGAGGACGAUCAGCCACACUGGGACUGAGACACGGCCCAGACUCCUACGGGAGGCAGCAGUGGGGAAUCUUGCGCAAUGGGCGAAAGCCUGACGCAGCGACGCCGCGUGCGGGAAGAAGGCCUUCGGGUUGUAAACCGCUUUCAGGAGGGACGAAGCCACUCGGGUUAAUAGCCCAGAGGGUGACGGUACCUCCAGAAGAAGCCCCGGCUAACUACGUGCCAGCCGCCGCAGUAA